GUGCGGACUGGGAGUUGUUGUUCUGAUGAAAUUCCACACCGGUGUGACACUAAAUGCCAACUGCCUUCCACGACUGGUGCAUUGCAAUGCUCGAAUUGUGCCGUGAGUGAGGGAAUCUAUGCUGACCUGGCCUGCUGAGUCCCUUUAGUAUUUUGUGUGUGUUGGACAGUCCAUGCCCAGCACUGGAAUCUGAUACUCCUUUCUGAGCUCUGCCACAAGUAGAGAUUACCAAUUGACAGAAGAAAAGAUUUACAGGGUGCGCUCAAAAUGUCCUUGGGAAAGAUGCAACAUCCCCAUUGACUAAUGAAAUUCCUGGUCCAUGUCCUCUGGAAGUGAAGCAGAAGCAUUUGACUGGUACCAAAAACUUCUAGUCCAUGGAUCACCAAGAAAUGAAAGGUCAGUGGAAAUUUUGGGGGGAGUAGACUACUUCCUAAACUGCAUUUCUACCCAAGAUUGUUGACCCAAGAUCCCUGCCUCAGCUAUGGAUAGGUGCACCAUUCCCAUAAUGGUCUCAUUGGUCACAUAAGAAACUACAAAACUAAAGUGGAAGUAAAUCAAUAUUGUUUCUACGGGCCUAGAUUGUAUUCAUCUGGAGCCAUGAUGGACAUGAUCUUCACUCCAUGACAACUGCAAGGGCAGCACCUUCCAGCAUACAUAUUGUUUCUUGACCUCACUAAACCCUUUGACUCCAAUGACCUGCAGGGACUGUAGAUAAUUCUCCCCAAAGUUGGCUUCUCUUAGAAAUUAUCUCCAUAUUGUAUCAGUAGGUCCACAACAGCGCUAACCUCAGUGAAAACCAACGUCAAACGAGGCUGCAUCGCUGUUUCUUCCAGCUUUUCUCAUCACAAUCUACUCUCCUCCAUCAAACUUACCCUGGGUGUGGAGUGAAGCUUCAAAACUAAUGGGAAAUUGUUUGUCCAACAGUAUCUACACUCUGGAACUAAGCCCAUCUGAAUUCAGUCCUCUGCUGUCUGCAGGGGGCUCUGGUUUACCUAAUGUUCAGAGGUUAACCUGCAAGAAACUGCACUGAGAACUACCAGACGAUAUGACUCACACCGAACGCCUGCAUUAUAAAGAUCCUCUACCAACUUGUUCUAGGUCUACAACAUCAACCUCCAAUCAUAUAGCUUAAAGCUAGACUUUGGAAAGUAUGGUUCACUUCCUAUAUUUUGAGCUCAUCUCUCAGCAAAGGCAGACAUCAGCGCUGAAAUUCGCCACAACCUUCAAAGCAGCGAGUACAGCCACCGGUCAAUUAUGGGGGGAAAAGAGCGUUUAACGAUCAGGGUUUAACAUCCGAAUUAAAUUCAGUGCAAUAAAUAGAGGCACUGGGUGGCGCCAAAUGUUCUAUAUAAUUCUCCAAGUGUGCUGGAAACAUUCAAUAAUACAACAUCACUCAGAAUGCUGAAGGAACUGCAGGUCAGGCAGCAUCUCUGGAGAGGAAUAAACAGUCAAUCUCAUAGGAGCAGGAUUAGGCCAUCUGGCCUUGCCGAGCCUGCUCCGCCAUUCAAUAAGAUCACGACUGAUCUGGCUAUAUUGCAGAAUCCUGCAUAGUGAUAACAAAAAUUUAAAAACAAAUAGACAGAAUCCAUGGUUUCAUCUCUUACAUGCAGUUCAUUAGCUGCUGAUAAAACAGUUUCAUCUCGAAAAUCUUUACCCGCUGACUCUUUAUGUCCCCUGUAUUUUACGAAAAAUAUUUUUUCUUAAACUUUCUGUCAAAUUCGUUCCUGCAACGAAUCCAAGAAGAUCUUGGAAGAUGUGACAUCAGCCUCCCUCCAAUUCCAGUGCGGCUACUUCGCUUUCAAUAAUACGGAGAGUUUGGGCUUCUAUCUUCGGGCUCUAAGCUCGGAACAUGAGAGCCUAUAAGGGGAUCGUAAUUUCCGAAUUCUAGCGUUUAUUUGUUCUACUGACAUUAUUUAGUUUACUUCGGCUGAUUAUGUAUUGUCGGUUUGAUUCUCUGAUCCUGUGAAGUACAAGAUGUAGUGGAUAUACAACUGAAAGAAAAGUUUAUUACUCUUAGGUCGCACCCGCGAUUACGGCCGAUGAGAGGUUAGGAAAGACCACGACCCGCUUUUUGUUUUGCGCCCAGUUCCCAUGUGUCAUCAAACGAGGUUGAAGGUCGUGGGUUCUAAAUUCUCGAUGGAACCCCAUCGGAUGCAUUUACACGCGCUGUUCCCAAAAAAAAAACAAAUUAAAUGAAGCAAAAAGAUACUCCGGCCAUAGACUUCAACACCGUAAAUUUGUCACCUGACACUACACCCACUUUAGAUUGGUGAUUACCCGUAAGGACGAAGUUAAAGAAACUAUCAACCAAAAGCGGAAGGCUUCGAUAACCGAAGACCGAAGUCUUCCUUUAGUGAUUGCGCCCCUGCAGAUUGUCCCGGUCAGGUGAGAAUCACCGGAACAGUUUGAGAGUACAGUAGUGGAAUUUUACAGCAUUUUGUCCACCAUGUCCCCAUUAAUUUUUAUCAAGUGAAGAUUUAUCCAUAUCCCUGUUCUAAACAUUGUUGUGAAUUAUGCUUGACCCUACUAUCCUCAGUAACAUUCUCCAAGAAAGAAAUAUAAAACUUUUUUUAUUCAUAGGUGUAAAUCUUAAUUUUCUCUUUCAACCCCGGUGGAAAGCCUGUCCCAAAUAAAGUUAUUCAUGCCUUCCACCCCUGACACCAUCCUAGAAAACCUCUUAUGAAUCUUAAUAAUUUUUCUUGCUUUCUCAGACCAAGCAGAUGAAGUAACUCGCUCACAUUCCGUUUUAUUUGAUGCUCUCUGGGGCCUAUCCCACAACAGGCGCUUGGGUCAUCAUCUGACCUGCCACGAUGUCACGUGCUGCAUACUUUCCAAUACUUUAAUUUCUGCCUCCACAGUUAAUCCCCGGUUAUGGAUUUUAUAAUCAACAAAUUAAUUUCUUCAUCACUAAUUCAAGAUUCUUUUCCAUUGUUGGCAGUCUGUUAUUUAACCAUCAAUGCCUUCAACUUGGCUUGUGUUCUUUCAUGGUUAUAUUUGAAAUACGUUUAUUAAAAUAUUCUAUGACAAAAUACUUGUUACCGACUCUGUUCGCAACUCAAACGAUAUUUUAUAUCGUAUUCCAAAUGUUCGAAACUGUUAAGAAAAUAGUAUUUACAACAAAAGAAACCCGAUUUGUUUUUUAAACAAACUUAUGACUAAUUUUAAAAUGUUUUUGGCCUUCUGGUGUUCGGGAAAACAAGUAACACCCUCCCAGUUACAUAGAACAAGAGUAAGUUUUGCCUCAGGAAUUGGGAGUCGUUUAUCACCUGAAGCUAACGUUUCUCGUUUGCCAGAGGCAAUAUAGCACAAUGCUUAAAUUAUUUUGGUUAAUUGUUCCAAAAACAGUUAUUUUAAUAAAGAAUUUAUAGAAUAUUGCGGUUACAACUGUUACUUGUUUAGGAAAACCAGAGGGGUUAUUGGCAGGAUUAACCUCGCAUUCUGUUGUUAUUUUCUUCAUAAUAAUUAUGUCAAUUAUACGAAAUAAAUGAAUUGUACGAGUCACCUUGAACCAUUUGAUUACGAUUCACGCCUUUAUUUCUAAAGUGUGAGAGGUCGGAUCAUAUAACCGAUAUUAAUCGGCCACAAAACUCCCAAAGUUAAUUACGACUCUCGGGCCUUUAUCGCAGCAAUUGAUUAAGAUGAAUGGUAAUUCUAUUGAUGUCUUGAAUAAAUAGGUGAUAAUCUCUUCUAGCACAAUUCCUCAAUCCUCAAAGGAAAUAUUUUUGACAAAAACAGUUUUAAAGAAUAAUUUUAAAUGCAAAACUUGAUAGAAUUUAGCGUAAUUCAACAUAAGCGCGCGCGAAUAGUUUCCAUAUAUUAAAGAAGGUUCUAGUGCAAAUAAAGAUUUUUUUAUUGAUGACAACUAUUUUCAAUAAACAUAAUAAUCAAAAUUUAAACAUAAUCCUGGAAUGUGAGUCCAGUUGAAGUGUUAUAAAUUAGAUUAACAAAUAACAAUGCGUUUCAAAAGCAGUGAAACGGUAGCAGAAAAGCAUUUGAGACAAAAGCCAGCUGGAUUUCAAAAAGCACAUUGCAGUUUUGCACAAUGUUAUUAAUUCUAAGAAAACUACCGUAAACCAUGUGACUCGUGGGCUUGUUGGACAUUUCUUAGAUUUGUUCACGUUUAGUUUCAGGCAGUACUUUUUAAAGCUAUCUCUGACCUGCAGUUAUUUCUUUGGCAGAUAAAUUCCAGACGGGCCUUUUGUAUCGACCACGCUACGGUGGUCGGUUGCUGUUAAAUAACCCAGUCGAUUAAUAAAACCAAGCCGUUUUUAAAGCCAGGUAUUGAUUUGUUAUCGACCAGGGAUCAAAACUUUAGUAAGGAAAAGUAUACCACCAAAAAAAAUCAAUAACGUUGAAGAUCUGCAAGAGAACUAACCCCGUUCCUUAUAAUUUAGUACAGUAAAACGUAUUCCACAACUACCCUCUCCACUAAUAAGGCAAAAAUUAAGGAAACGCUGUUCUCUAUUUGAGCUUCAAUGUUCACUUAAGGCGUCCCACUCUCUUCACAUUUUGAUUACAUAUUGAUUGACUGAUUGGCGAUGACAAAUUCUUGUCAUGACUUACUCCAAUGUAGUGUGUUCCAAAGUAUUUUGUUAGCUCUUGGAGUAAAUAAAGAGCAAAGCAGACCAAUAGGAUAAGAAACAACUGCCCCAUCGUUGUUGUCGUUAUAAAGUGCUCUCUAUUGUUCCCAUUUAACUUUAGUGAUUAAACCCACAUCCAACGAAGACUGCAAAGCUUUGUGUGUCUGAAUGGAGCCUAUAGUGUGUAUUUUUGUUCACUGUGGAAAGCUCGACGGGAAAAUGAGCUCGGAGGAGGGCGAGAAGAGACUGGUUAAAAGAGCCCACAAAAAGACGGUGGAACGAUAAACGAGUUCC